ACAUUAGUUUAUGUGAUCAAAACAUGAAAGCUACAUUGUUUUGAGACUAAAGUUGCGUUUCCAAGGAUUCCUGUGUUUCUGUGUGCAUAAAUCUGUAUGCAGGUGACUUUGUGUGAAAUGUCUGCAAGUCUAUUGCAGCAGGGAGGGACAGAGAGAGAUCGCUAUCGCCAUGAUGGAUUGCAGAGAGGAGGCGAUUUAAAAUAUUAUUAGAACUCAGUUUGUGACUUGCUAAAGGUGCUUGCUAACGUAUUGCCUCUCCUGUGUGUCUGACUCCUUGUCUGCUCCACUUUUCAAAUUAUGCAACAAAUAAUGUGCAGCAGGGGUUUGUGUGCGUAAAUUAGUUUUGCGUAAAACAGGAAACAACAACGUAGCAGUGAUCUCUGUUCCUGUGCAUCGACGCUGCGUCGUCCUCAACUUCCUUUGUUUUUCGCAGAGCAGUUUGGUUGUGCAAUUAAAGCAUAAAAAGUGAUAGCGCAGCAAAACAACAGUCCCAGUUUAAUUCACGUCUAAUGACAGAGCUGCUAAGUGGACCCCUGCCUCUGGAGGUGUAGGACAGGAAAACCUCAUUAACUUUUUUUGUGCGUCUCCGUUUCCCCCCUCAGAGAACGCCCCAGCCUUAUCUGUUGAGUGAUUAGAUGUGCAAUGAAGAAAAAUUUCUGUACAUAUGUAACGUAGUCAGAGCCCAGCGGGACCGUGGCCCGGGGAAAUGCAAAUGAUCUCGUUUUUCUGUGGGUCAAUAACUCAGCCAUGACAUGAAUGAUUUAUGCUUGGCCUGAUCUGAAAACGUUGGUCCAGGCUCGUCCUCCAUCUUCUCUGCUGCUGAUUUUGUUAUUCCCAACAACGUGCAAGUGGUCUGACUGAGAAAAGUAUUUACUCCUAAAAGGUUUUCUUCUCCUAGCUAAAUGUUUCAAAGUGUGACAAAAAUCAAAAACAGACCAAAACAUUUUUUGUUUUUAUCUCUUAUUGCCUCAGUUAGUUUUAAAGUUUUUCCUUAUUGUUUUUAAGCUUUUCUCUGAAAAUGUAUCUCGUCUCAGUUAAAAGAUAUGUUGUAGCUUCUGUGGCUGUAAGAUUUGAAACUGAAUUCAUAAACCAAUCAGUGGAGCUUUUGCUCAGCACAUCUAGAAAAAACAAGGAUCUAAAACUGAACCUUAUUUAUGUUACAAAAUCCAACAAUUGAACCUGAGAUGUUCUGCUUCUACAGAGUUUUGCUAACAUUUUAUCACAUCCAACCCAUAAAAUUCAGUCUGUUGCACUGAGAUGAGACCAACACAAGAUGGUGCAUAGUUAUGUAAUAAAAGGAAAAUCAUACAUGAGUUUCAAAUAUUUUAAUAAAUACAGUCUGUGUUUGUCUUCUGUUUCAAUUGGACCAGAACCACCUGGCUGAAGGUUCAGGUUUUUGGGAUUUU